UACAAAAGAGAGCCUGGAGAGAAAUGAACGGUUUUGGCUGGAAAAUACCUGCAAUUUCUUUGUUUUUGGAAUGGCUUUGAUACAAGCCUCACUUCUCGCAAAUCCUGCAAUUGAUUCCCACUUUUCUUCGUUGUCUUUCACUUCUAUUCAUGCCACUACAUCUCUCGUCUCCUUCCCUCGACCGCCGGAGAUUCGCCGGAGCAACCGGAAAAUGGCCUGCACAGCCAUGGUUCAGCAGGUGUUACAGGGAGCUCCGGCUACCUAUGCAAAGGAAAUGGAACGGCUUUCUGCUAAGGAAUCGUUGCUUCUCGCUUUUAAAGACUCUGGGAGUUUUGAAGCUCUAGUGACGGGGAAGACGACAGAUAUGCAGAGGAUUGAUGUGAAUGAGAGGAUAACUGGUCUUGAGCGGCUCAAUCCAACGCCUAGACCAACUACGUCGCCAUUUUUGGAAGGCCAAUGGAAUUUCGAGUGGUUUGGAUCUGGAAGCCCGGGAUUCUUAGCUGCUAGAUUUAUAUUGGAGAGAUUUCCUUCGAAUUUGGCUAAUUUAUCAAAGAUGGAUGUGCUGAUUAAAGAUGCAAAUGCAAAGAUUACUGCAACGAUGAAACUACUGUCCUCGAUAGAAAGCAAAUUUAUUCUUUCCACAAGGUUAUCUGUGGAGGGACCUCUUAGAAUGAGAGAGGAAUAUGUUGAAGGAAUUCUUGAGAUGCCUAAAAUCAUGGAAGAAACUGUACCAGAACAGCUAAAAGGUGCAUUUGGCCAGGCUGUUAGCACGGUGCAACAACUUCCGGUUCCCAUUAGGGAUGCUGUCUCCAGAGGAUUAAAAGUUCCCCUAUAUGUCAAAAUUGGAAUUAGGGCGUCAAAGCUAGCAGAGAAGGGUUUUGCCAAAAAUUGAUGACGUGGCGCCGUCAGAUGAUGUGUACUGUGGCGUUGCAUCUGCCAUCGUAGUGUCGGAUCAGGUGUAGACAGGUGCAACACAUUAGCAUGACCUUAGCUGGGGUUAUGGUCAGAUCAGACCCAACUCGGAGCUUGAGGGUGCGUGGGUAUUUUGACUCGCAAUUCAUCAAAGGCAACACACCGAUCAGCAUGUGGCGAACCUGUGGGGAGGUGUCGAAGUCAGAAUCAAGGCCGACAGUGAUUCGGGUCAAAACCUAACCUGAAUGGAACUUGGUUUCUCGGCAGCCUCUGGUGGCUAGAUUUACAGGAUCUUGUGGUGUUGGGUGUUUGAUUAAUGUGGCAGUGCAGCGGUAUGAGGAAGGGAUGAUGGUGGACAUUGGAGAUUUUUUUUAAACGAUGAGAAAGAAAAGUAAGCAAGGGAAGAAAACUCACGAAAGAAGCCCAAAAAAAAAUAAAAAAUCAGACUGGUCUGUAGCUAAUCUUUCCAAGGCAAAUGGAUCAAAGUGCUUUGAUACCAAAUUGAUGUAGAACCAAGAACAAUUAAAGUCGGUUCUUUCCAGAGGCUCUUCAUGAUUUCUUAUCUCGAUGAGGGGAUACUUAAAUGAAGGGCUUUCACCAUCAGGCAUCAGCUAUAGAAGAUUAGAAUAAAUUAUUGAUGACAGUUCAGCGUGAAGUGUGAAUAUUUAGGACUCAGAUGUUCUGUGAUGGUCCAUUAAUAUUUGCUUUGCUUUAAUGCUGAUUAGAGUCUCACCGCUGCUUCUCAAAGGGCUUGGUUGUUUUGCGUCACUCGGGAAAGGCAAGUUGAUUUGCAUUUUAUUAAUCAUCUUGAAAUUGAGUUUUUAACUGUCUUCCAAAAUGUUAAUCUCAAUUUUCUAACUUGUGACUUUAACAUUAUGUUUGGAUCACGGUUUAUGUUAUAUUGUAUGGUAUGGUUACUUUACAUGUAUUGAAAUAUUAUUCUUAAAAA